GCAACUCGACUGCAUGAAGCUGGAAUCGCUAGUAAUCGCGAAUCAGAAUGUCGCGGUGAAUACGUUCCCGGGCCUUGUACACACCGCCCGUCACACCAUGGGAGUUGGAAGCACCCGAAGUCGGUGACCUGACCGAAAGGGAGGAGCCGCCGAAGGUGAAGCCAGCGACUGGGGUGAAGUCGUAACAAGGUAAC
rnacentral:rRNA from 1 species